UGCUGCUCUGAAAGAAAAAAAAAAAACCCUCUUUCAUCCUCCUCUUCCUCUCAUCACCUGUCGCUGAUGAAGACAAUGAAGAUUGAGACAGUGGAGCAGUGCCACAGAACCUUGGUGGACAUGGAGGAUGAGUAAUGAGAGAGAGAGACGCUUAAACGAGAGGCCAAAAGAACAAGUGAUGUUGAGAGGAAACAUCAAAAAAAAGAAGAAGAAGAAGAAGAAAAAUCAUCAGAUGAAGAAAUGAAACAAAAUGGAGGAGACUGCACUUCGACCGCGGGGUCUUUUAUGAACUCCAGACGGACUCGAACAAAAUAAUAUAAACUAAUACUGAUUGAAAAACCUGCUGUGUCAUGAAUCAUAGUAUGGUAUGUGUACAUUCUAAGCAUGGAGAGUUUAUAUCUACUGAAAAAGUCCUGCAUUAGCACACUAAUAUAUAAUAUACCGAUAAAUAUGAAUCUCUAGCUCUUUGGUUUGAUGUCUUGGUUCUGUGUGGAAUGGUGACCUCUGGUGUUGUGAAGAUGUAAAUGACUUGGUGGAAAAAAAAAAAAUGUAUCUGUGACCAAACAAGACUAUUCAGCUCCUCAAGGGUGUGUGUGUGCGUGUGUGCGUGUGCGUGUGUGUGUGUGUGUGUGUGCGUGUGUGUGCGUGUGCGUGGACAGCGGUGUGCUCGCAGUGACUGCAUCUUAUGACCAUUUGCUUUGAACAAAUAAAUGUUAUAUACAAACUG